AUUGAACGCUGGCGGCAUGCCUUACACAUGCAAGUCGAACGGCAGCACGGGAGCAAUCCUGGUGGCGAGUGGCGAACGGGUGAGUAAUAUAUCGGAACGUGCCCAGUAAUGGGGGAUAGCCCGGCGAAAGCCGGAUUAAUACCGCAUACGACCUACGGGUGAAAGCGGGGGAUCGCAUGACCUCGCGUUAUUGGAGCGGCCGAUAUCAGAUUAGGUUGUUGGUGGGGUAAAAGCCCACCAAGCCGACGAUCUGUAGCUGGUCUGAGAGGACGACCAGCCACACUGGGACUGAGACACGGCCCAGACUCCUACGGGAGGCAGCAGUGGGGAAUUUUGGACAAUGGGCGCAAGCCUGAUCCAGCCAUGCCGCGUGUGGGACGAAGGCCUUCGGGUUGUAAACCACUUUUGUCAGGGAAGAAACGGCUCUUACUAAUAUUAGGAGCUAAUGACGGUACCUGAAGAAUAAGCACCGGCUAACUACGUGCCAGCCGCCGCAGUAA
rnacentral:rRNA from 1 species